rnacentral:rRNA from 1 species
GAUGAACGCUGGCGGCGUGCCUAAUACAUGCAAGUCGAGCGAACGGACGAGAAGCUUGCUUCUCUGAUGUUAGCGGCGGACGGGUGAGUAACACGUGGAUAACCUACCUAUAAGACUGGGAUAACUUCGGGAAACCGGAGCUAAUACCGGAUAAUAUUUUGAACCGCAUGGUUCAAAAGUGAAAGACGGUCUUGCUGUCACUUAUGGAUGGAUCCGCGCUGCAUUAGCUAGUUGGUAAGGUAACGGCUUACCAAGGCAACGAUGCAUAGCCGACCUGAGAGGGUGAUCGGCCACACUGGAACUGAGACACGAUCCAGACUCCUACGGGAGGCAGCAGUAGGGAAUCUUCCGCAAUGGGCGAAAGCCUGACGGAGCAACGCCGCGUGAGUGAUGAAGGUCUUCGGAUCGUAAAACUCUGUUAUUAGGGAAGAACAUAUGUGUAAGUAACUGUGCACAUCUUGACGGUACCUAAUCAGAAAGCCACGGCUAACUACGUG